CGCACCAGCGGUCGGGGAAAGCAGCAGUCUGAGCGGAUCUGCUGUCUUGACAACACGCUCUCCGCAGACGGCGCGGUGGCUACAGGGUCUAAUUAAAUGACUGCAAACACACUCAAUACGAAGCCAUAGAAUUUUACUUUUAUAUUUUUUUUAUAAAAAAAUACCAAAGAUGGAGUUGGACCCUGCGGUCAUCAUUCCGGCCAUUCUGUUCACCAUAGUUGCCAUUUAUUUAGCGUCUUCCUACUUGAACAAGAAGGUCGAGGCACCUGCGAACAAAAAGAAACGCCGCGUGGUUGAAGAGAAGGAUGAAGUUUGCUCGUCUAGUUAUGUGUCGGUUCAGAACGUAGAGCCCAGAGUGGAGAAGCCCGCUGUGAUCGAAGAAGUGAAACCUGUCGUGGUGGCCAAGGCCGAGCCGGUGCCCGUUGUGGCCCCUGUUGUAGAGGAGGUGGCCCCUGUGGUAGCGGUGGUGGCCCCUGUGGUAGCGGAGGUGGCCCCUGUGGUAGAGGAGGUAGGCCUACGACCCGUGGAAACAGUGGUCUCUGGCCAUCAAAUCACAGAAGUUGAGGUUGCACCACAGCCUGAACCCGAACCAGAACCAGAGAUCGUCUCCCUCCCGGAACCAGUGGUGGUGGAGUCCAUCCCUGAGCCAGAACCAGUCGCACCGGCUGUAGAAGCAGUGACAGAACUGUUGGUAGAAUCGCUCCCAGUGCCAGAACUUCAGUCACUCCCAGAACCACAGGAGGAGGAGCCGGUCGUUGUAGCGGAACCUGUAGUCGUAGAAGAACCGGUUGUUGUGAAGGAACCCGAGCCCGCCACAGAACCUGAAGCCACCAAACCUCAGGAGGAAGAGCCGGUUAUUGUAGCAGAACCUGUAGUCGUAGAAGAACCGGUUGUUGUGAAGGAACCCGAGACCGCCACAGAACCUGAAGCCAAGCCGGAACCAGAAGCAGAACCAGAGUCUGUGUCAGAGUCGACCAUUCCAACAGAACCCUCUCAGCCAACUGCUGAUGAGACUCCCAUCCCAGAACCAACCGUUGAUGUCCUGCCUGAGGAGACCUCUCCAGAAGAAGUCCCUCACACCAACACGGCCGCUGAAGACGAGGAGAGGGUGACCUUCGCGGCUGGGAAGAAACAGAGCAGGUUUGAGACGUUGAUGACCAAGGAGGAGAUGGAGGAGGAGCAGAGGAUAGAGCUCACAGCUGAUCUGACUUGUCUGUGAGCUGAGGACACAAAACUUACUGUUAGACUCACAGGGCUAGCUGUCUGUUGAAAAUGUCGCUGUUUGUAGCUCUCGAAAGGUUGGUCAUUAGCGCCCUCUUCUGGAAUUAUCUGGAAACUUCUAUUCGAUCUCUUUCUUGGAAAUACGUACAUUUUACUAACUAAAUUAAUAUUCGGUCUUUCCAAUAAAUACUAGUCGUUUUUUGUAUUGAUCUACUAUUUUAUCCUCUGGACAAUUUAAAGAAGUUAUCUAGUUCUAAAUAAAAUACAGUUGCUAUCGGCCACUAGAGGGCAGAUUUUCACCAGGUUGUCGAAGCUUUGAGAACCGCUGAAAAAUGACGUCACACAAAAUUGACAAAUCUUCAAUGUGAAGUUGUCACCCUAAAUUGUUUAUAGUUUAAUCUGAAAUCAAUGUCCAGGAUGAAUUAUCGUCUGUUAAAAAAUCCCUGCGUGGAGUAUGCUGCUAUGCCGUGUUGCUAACUGCUAACUGCUAUCUGCAUGCUACAUGCUACCAGCUACCAACACAUUUACUGUGCAAUGGAGUAACCACAUUUGUUUGGGUGUUUGUUUGUGAGAGAGUGUACCAAUGUGUGCGUGUGUGUGUGUGUGUUUGUGUGUGUGUGUGUGUGUGUGUGUGUGUGUGUGUGUGUGUGUGUGUGUGUGUGUGUGUGUGUGUGUGUGUGUGUGUGUGUUUGUGUCAAAGGGUGUACAUAUAUGUUUGUGUGUGAGCGUGAGUGAGAGUUUACAGACACAUGUGUGUGUUUAAGAUGUCAGACAAGAAGAAACAAGAUGAAAAAAACACUUCAUAAAUCUUGUUCCUUUAUGUACCUCUGUGUUUGUAUGUGUGUGUGUGUGUGUGUGUGUGUGUGUGUGUGUGUGUGUGUGUGUGUGUGUGUGUGUUUGUCUGUUUGCGUGCAUAUGUGUGUGUCCAAAGUGGGGAAAGUGAAAGUAAAUGAAUUUGUGUUUUUUGCAUGUUAAAGGUUGUUGUGCUGGACAAUGCUGUCGUGUAGCUUUCUUUAGCGAUUAGCUUAGCAUGAAUUUAGCCCCUUUCACACAUCCAGUCUAUUAAACCAUGACUGUGGAUCUUAAUGCGCCAUUGCGUCUCGGUUGAUCGAUUCAAAUAUAGAUACAGCUUAUUUUGUUUGCAAAGAAGCUCCUUUUCUCAAGUAUGGCCGGAAACCGGAGAGUCUGAAGUGAGGGAGCUCCUUUCAGUCUGCAUGAAACAUCCCUAUCCCUUGGCCCAUCCAUUCCGGCAUUGCUAGGCCAUGUAUGUAAGAGCGCAAGACGAAAUGUUCCAGAACGUAGGUGCAUGUGUGUAUAGGGAAGAUCACCAACGUUGCAUGAAAGGUCAUCUCAGUAAUUGACAGAGAAUUAUGUGUGACAGGGGCUUAUUAAGAAUGUUCAAAACUGUUGGUUGAAAAGGACUGAACAAGGACUUUCCAACUUCAUUAAAGAGAUUUGUGAAAAAAAAA